UACGUAGGGACCAAGCGUUGUUCGGAUUUACUGGGCGUAAAGGGCGCGUAGGCGGCGUGGUAAGUCACUUGUGAAAUCUCUGAGCUUAACUCAGAACGGCCAAGUGAUACUGCUGUGCUAGAGUGCAGAAGGGGCAAUCGGAAUUCUUGGUGUAGCGGUGAAAUGCGUAGAUAUCAAGGAGAACACCGUGAGGUGAAGACGGGGUUGCUGGGCUGACACUGACGCUGAGGCGCGAAAGCCAGGGGAGCAAACGGG
rnacentral:rRNA from 1 species